rnacentral:misc_RNA from 1 species
GUAGGUGAACCCGCGGAAGGAUCAUUAACACGUAUCCACGUAUAUCAACCCAACGGCAACUGUUUUCAGCCGGCUAUCCCGAUCUUCCUCCCUUUGAGAUUGAUUCAUGUGUGCAAGUACUUGGUUGUAAUGAUCGACGAAAGCGCGCGCGUCUAACGAAAUCAAAGGGACAAGGCCUGCCGUACUUCAUUGUGCGGAAUGUGUGCUAGCUAUUAGAGGAGGAGACGUCGCUACCCACCUUACUAACAUCAUCAUGGAUUAGUUGACUGUUUUGUAGUUACUUGUCGGCUGUCGGUAUUUGCUUACCCGCACCCGUGCAGGCAAUACACGUUUAUUUACUUGAACGUUAAAAAUACAACUCUUAGCAAUGGAUAUCUUGGUUCUC